rnacentral:rRNA from 1 species
UGGAGCGAUUUGUCUGCUUAAUUGCGAUAACGAACGAGACUCUAGCCUGCUAACUAGUCGUUUCCGGCUUCCUUUGUUGCAGCCGGCGAAGACAAAUCUUCUUAGAGGGACAGGCGGCUUCUAGCCGCACGAGAUUGAGCAAUAACAGGUCUGUGAUGCCCUUAGAUGUCCGGGGCCGCACGCGCGCUACACUGAAGGAAUCAGCAUGUUCUCCCUGGCCUAGAGGCCCGGGCAACCCGCUGAAACUCCUUCGUGCUGGGGAUUGGGGUUUGCAAUUAUCCCCCAUAAACGAGGAAUUCCUAGUAAGCGCGAGUCAUAAGCUCGCGUUGAUUACGUCCCUGCCCUUUGUACACACCGCCC